UUUUUUGAGUCGGAGUCUCACUCUGUCGCCCAGGCUGCAGUGCGGUGGCGCGAUCUUCGCUCACUGCAGGCUCCGCCUCCCGGGUUCACGCCAUUCUCCUGCCUCAGCCUCCCGAGUAGCUGGAACUACAGGCGCCCGCCAUGAUGCCCGGCUCAUUUUCUGUGUUUUCAGUAGAGACGGGGUUUCACUGUGUUAGCCAGGAAAGUCUUGAUCUCCUGACCUCGUGAUCCUGACCUCGGCCUCCCAAAGUGCUGGGAUUACAGGCGCGAGCCACCGCGCCCGACAGCAGUUAUGAAGUUCUAAAAGCAAGUCUUAAUCAGGAAGUGUCCUUGAUCACCAACGGCUCGCCCAGACAGGCAUGCUGGCUCUCUUCCACUUCCACCUUCCACCAUGGGAUGACGCAGUAAGAAGGCCAUCAGUAGAUGCCAGUCCCUCAACCUUGAACUUUCCAGACGCAGAACUUUAUGCCUCCAUUUUCCUCUGCUGCAUGGCCCCAGGAGAGAUUUUAAUUAGCUUUCUAACCUUGGUCCAGAUUGCACAUGCAAAUGGUAGAGGAUGCAACACCCCCGCUUGUGGAGCUGCCGCUUGUGUCUGGCAUGAAAAUUCACAAGAAGAGAGGAAAUACUGAGGAGAAAAUGGCAGAUUGUGUUUGCUGAAUUUGAUUGACGAAGAAGUCACCAUGAAAAUCACAGUGAACCAUUUGGAAAGCAAACUGCCAAAAAAUAAUAGUUAGUCAUGCUCUCAGGCUGGUAAUUGAAAGUUUUGUUCAAAUCGUACUUAAUAUUCAAUAAUUGUUUAACCAUACCACUGCUUAUCUUGGGAAUGCUGAUACUAUGGAGACAAUAAGAUAAGGUGGCUGCUGAAAAUCAGAUUUAGACACUACUUUGAUUAUAAUCAUUUUUUUUGUAUAUCCCAUGAAGGUAUUAUAUGUUAGUGGUUGUUCUAUGCUUAAUAUUUAUAUAGCAACAAAGAGUAAAUAAACUGCAAUUUAUACAUGUUAUAUUGUUGACCUAUGCUAAAAGUUAAUUACCAUAAUGAAAUGGUUUGGCUGUGUCCCCACCCAAAUCUCAUCUUGAACCCAUAAUCCCCAUGUGUCCUGCUGCUGGACCCAGUGGGAGGUAAUUGAAUCACAGGGGCAGUGUCUCCCACGCUGUUCUCAUGAUAGAGAGUUCUCAUGAGAUCUGAUGGUUUUAUAAGUGUCUGGCAUUUCCCUGCUUGUACUCAAUCUCUUGCCUGCCACCCUGAGAAAAGGUGCCUUCUGACAUGAUUGUAAGUUUCCUGAGGCCUCCCCAACCAUGUGAAACUGUGAGUCAAUUAAACCUCUUUUCUUUAUAAGUUACCCACUAUGAAGUAUUUCUUCACAGUAGCGUGAUAACUGAAUAAUACAUGUAACAAUUACAUGAACAAAUUAUUACAAGUUUGAGGUACAUCAGGUUUAAAUUAAGGAAAAAUGUUUAAAGAAUUUUCCUCCUCAAUGUUUCUUAGGGUCGAAGAGGCGUUUAUGUUUGUUUAUGAAUAGGUCCUCGAAGGUAAAACAUAGGCUUUAACAUUCUGAGGCCAAGGAUGGAGCUGUGUCUGAUUUAUAAAGUUUCAGACGCAGUAGAACAAUUGACAUGAGAAACUAGUCUUCCUCUGAGGCUGGUGAAGCUGCAGAUCAGCACACACUCAGACUUGGUACAGAGAAACAGACCAUUCUCCCAUUAGCCUUUGGUAUACUUCAGUCACCUGGGGUAGAGUGAUUUCUGUGAUUUCUAAACCUUCUGUCCUACUCAUCUUACAGGCCAUGUCCAUCCUCAGAACUCAUGCUUUCCUUUAUUGUAGCUUCUGUUCUACGACUCCUCUAAUACAUUUUUCUUAGGAGCUUCAUUGAGAUAUAAUUUAUAUCCCAUAACAUUCACAUUUGAAAUGUGGCAUCCAGUGUUUUUUAUUGUAGUCACAGACUUAUGCAACUAUCACAUCGAAUUUUAGAAUAUUUUCACCGCCCUCUGAAAAAAACUAAAUAACAAUUAGCAGUAGCUCCCCGUUUCUUUUCUCUGCCAAACCACUAGCAACUAUUAAUCUAUUUUCUGUCUUUAGCCAUUUGGCAUUCCGAACAUUUAAUACAAAUACGAUCAUUUAAUAUGUGGUCAUUUGUUAGUUUGUUUCUUUUUAAAAUAUGGGCUUUUUGACUGGCUUCUUUCACUUUGCAUAAUGCUUUCAAGGUUCAUCCAGAUUUUAGCAGGUACACAUACUUCAUUCCUUUUUUAUGCCUGAAUGAUAUUUUGUGGUAUUUUUUGCUGUUAUGAAUAAUUCACUGUUUGGCCACCGUAAAUAUGCAUGUAUAAGUCUUUUGGGGACAUGAUUUUAUUUUGGAGGAUAGAUACUUAGAUGUUGAAAUAUUGGUUCAUAUAAUAGAUCUGUGUUUAAAUAUUUGAGGAACACUUCUUGAUGGUAUUGUGACACAAAUCUAUUAUGCAUAUAUGUAUGUAUUUACAUUGAGUAUGCUUUUGGUGUAAUAUCUAUCAAAGGUUAUGAAGAUUUACUGUUAUAUUUUCUUCUAAGAAUUUACAAUUUUACCUCUUACAUUUGUCUCUGUGAUUCAUUUUUCAGUUAAUUCUUGUGCAUGGUGUGAGGUAGGAGGACAAUUUCAUUCUUUUUUGUGCGACAAUUCAGUUUUCCCAGAACUAUUUAUUGACAAGUCAAUAAAGUGAAUUGUAGCAUAGAAAAUAUUGCAUUGAAUUAUCUUGGCACCUGUAUCAAAAGUCAGUUGAUCAUAAAUGUAAGAAUUUAUUUCUGGAACCUUAUUUCUAUUCCAUUAGUUGAUAUAUCUCUCCUUGUGUUAGUACCAUAAUGUCUUAAUUGCUAUAGCUUUGUAUUAAGUUUUGAAACAGGGUAGUAUAUGUCCUUCACCUUUGUUCUUUCU
rnacentral:lncRNA from 1 species